rnacentral:rRNA from 1 species
GCUAAUACCGGAUGUUGUCAGGAGUCGGCAUCGGCUCUUGACCAAAAGGAGCAAUCCGCUAUGGGAUGGGCCCGCGGCCUAUUAGUUAGUUGGUGGGGUAACGGCCUACCAAGGCGACGAUGGGUAGCUGGUCUGAGAGGAUGGCCAGCCGGAUUGGGACUGAGAUACGGCCCAGACUCCUACGGGAGGCAGCAAUUAGGAAUCUUGCGCAAUGGGGGAAACCCUGACGCAGCGACGCCGCGUGGAGGACGAAGGAUUUCGGUUCGUAAACUCCUUUUAAGUGGGAAGAAAAAAAUGACGGUACCACUUGAAUAAGCCCCGGCUAACUACGUGCCAGCAGCCGCGGUAAUACGUAGGGGGCGAGCGUUGUCCGAAUUUACUGGGCGUAAAGAGCACGUAGGCGGUUAUUUAAGUAGGGGGUGAAAUCCCACGGCUCAACCGUGGAACUGCCCCCUAAACUGAGUGACUUGAGAGAGGGAGAGGUGAGUGGAAUUCCUGGUGUAACGGUGAAAUGUGUAGAUAUCAGGAGGAACACCCGUGGCGAAGGCGGCUCACUGGCCCUUUUCUGACGCUGAGGUGCGAAAGCGUGGGGAGCGAACGGGAUUAGAUACCCCGGUAGUCCACGCCCUAAACGAUGGAUGCUAGGUGGUAGAGGUAUCGACCCCUUUACUGCCGUAGCUAACGCAUUAAGCAUCCCGCCUGGGGAGUACGGCCGCAAGGUUGAAACUCAAAGGAAUUGACGGGGGCCCGCACAAGCGGUGGGAGCAUGUGGUUUAAUUCGUUACUAACCGAAGAACCUCACCCCAGGCUUGACAUCUGCCGGAAUCUUUGAUGAAAGUCAGGAGUGCCCCCAAGGGAGCCGC